rnacentral:rRNA from 1 species
GCCUCAGUAACGGCGAGUGAAGCGGCAACAGCUCAAAUUUGAAAUCUGGCCUUCGGGUCCGAGUUGUAAUUUGCAGAGGAUGCUUCCGGCGCGGCGCCUUCCAAGUCCCCUGGAACGGGGCGCCAUAGAGGGUGAGAGCCCCGUCGGGUCGGCCGCCAAGCCUAUGUGAAGCUCCUUCGACGAGUCGAGUAGUUUGGGAAUGCUGCUCUAAAUGGGAGGUAGACCCCUUCUAAAGCUAAAUACCGGCCAGAGACCGAUAGCGCACAAGUAGAGUGAUCGAAAGAUGAAAAGCACUUUGAAAAGAGGGUUAAACAGUACGUGAAAUUGUUGAAAGGGAAGCGCUUGUGACCAGACGCGCGCCGGGGUGCUCAGCAGGCGUUCUCGCCUGUGCACUCGCCCCGGCGCGGGCCAGCGUCGGUUCGGAUGGGGGGAUAAAGGCGUUGGGCACGUAGCUCCUCCGGGAGUGUUAUAGCCCAGCGUGCCAUGCUCCCGUCCGGACCGAGGUUCGCGCUCCGCAAGGACGCUGGCGUAAUGGUCCCCAGCGGCCCGUCUUGAAACACGGACCAAGGAGUCGAGGUUUUACGCGAGUGUCUGGGUGUCAAACCCGCACGCGUAAUGAAAGUGAACGCAGGUGGGAGCUUCGGCGCACCACCGACCGAUCCUGAUGUUCUCGGAUGGAUUUGAGUAGGAGCGUAGGGCCUCGGACCCGAAAGAUGGUGAACUAUACGUGGAUAGGGUGAAGCCAGAGGAAACUCUGGUGGAGGCUCGCAGCGGUUCUGACGUGCAAAUCGAUCGUCAAAUCUGCGUAUGGGGGCGAAAGA